rnacentral:rRNA from 1 species
CACGCCUGGUAGGAGAGCGUUCUGUAGGCCGAUGAAGGGGCGCCGUAAGGCUUCCUGGAGGCAUCAGAAGUGAGAAUGCAGGAAUGAGUAGCGAGAAGGAGGGCGAGAAUCCCUCCGGCCGGAAGUCCAAGGUUUCCAGGGGAAGGUUUGUCCGCCCUGGGGGAGUCGGGACCUAAGCAUAAGCAGAGCUGCGAAGGCGAAUGGAAAACAGGUUAAUAUUCCUGUACCGCUGUGGACUGACUGAGAGAUGGAGUGACGCAGGAAGGUAUGCGGGAAGGCUGACGGAAUAGCCUUUCUAAGGGUGAAGCGUGGACAUAUAGGCAAAUCCGUAUGUUUAAACGUGAGGCCUGACGGGUAAGUGCAUUAUGGCAUAAGCCGCAGAUCCUACACUGCCGGGAAAAACUUCUAUUUAGGGAAGCAGUGCCCGUACUGUAAACCGACACAGGUGGACAGAGUGAGAAACUUAAGGCCGACAGGACAACUCUGGCUAAGGAACUCUGCAAAAUGGCCCCGUAACUUCGGGAGAAGGGGUACCCGUGUUAACUGAAGAGAGAGACACUUGGAGGUGAAGCGGGUCGCAGUGAAGAGUCCCAAGCAACUGUUUACCAAAAACACAGGUCUAUGCUAAGCUGAAAGGCGACGUAUAUGGGCUGACACCUGCCCAGUGCCGGAAGGUUAAGAGGAGGAGUGAGAGCUCCAAUUUGAAGCCCCGGUGAACGGCGGCCGUAACUAUAACGGUCCUAAGGUAGCGAAAUUCCUUGUCGGGUAAGUUCCGACCUGCACGAAUGGUGAAAUGAUUUGGGAGCUGUCUUGGCUGGAGACCUGGUGAAGUUGUAAUGCCGGUGAAGAUACCGGCUACCUGCAGUAGGACGGAAAGACCCCGUGGAGCUUUACUGUAGUCUGGCAUUGGGUUCUGGCUGUGUGUGUAUAGGAUAGUUGGGAGACUGUGAAGUCAGGGCGUCAGCCUCGGCUGAGUCAUUGUUGGAAUACCAACCAUAUGCCGCCGGAAUUCUAAUCCGUAACCGGAGACAGUGCUAGAUGGGCAGUUUGACUGGGGCGGUCGCCUCCCAAAGAGUAACGGAGGCGUUCAAAGGUUCCCUCAGGCUGGAUGGAAAUCAGCCUAAGAGUGCAAACGCAUAAGGGAGCUUGACUGCAAGACUGACGGGUCGAGCAGGUACGAAAGUAGGAGUUAGUGAUCCGGCGGUUCCGUAUGGAAGGACCGUCGCUCAACGGAUAAAAGCUACCCCGGGGAUAACAGGCUGAUACUUCCCAAGAGUCCAUAUCGACGGAAGUGUUUGGCACCUCGAUGUCGGCUCGUCUCAUCCUGGGGCUGGAGAAGGUCCCAAGGGUUGGGCUGUUCGCCCAUUAAAGAGGCACGCGAGCUGGGUUCAGAACGUCGUGAGACAGUUCGGUCCCUAUCCACUG